CCUACGGGAGGCAGCAGUAGGGAAUAUUGGACAAUGGGUGAGAGCCUGAUCCAGCCAUGCCGCGUGCAGGAAGAAGGCGUUAUGCGUUGUAAACUGCUUUUGCCAGGGGAUAAAACGGUUCUGCGGAACUAAUUGAAGGUACCUGGUGAAUAAGCCACGGCUAACUACGUGCCAGCAGCCGCGGUAAUACGUAGGUGGCAAGCGUUGUCCGGAUUUAUUGGGUUUAAAGGGUGCGUAGGCGGCCCUGUAAGUCAGUGCUGAAAUAUCCCGGCUUAACCGGGAGGGUGGCAUUGAUACUGCAGGGCUUGAGUACAGAUGAGGUAGGCGGAAUUGACGGUGUAGCGGUGAAAUGCAUAGAUAUCGUCAAGAACACCGAUAGCGAAGGCAGCUUACCAAGCUGUAACUGACGCUGAGGCACGAAAGUGUGGGGAUCAAACAGGAUUAGAUACCCUGGUAGUCCACACUGUAAACGUUGAUGACUCGAUGUUGGUGAUACACAACCAGCGUCCAAGAGCAAUCGUUAAGUCAUCCACCUGGGGAGUACGCCGGCAACGGUGAAACUCAAAGGAAUUGACGG
rnacentral:rRNA from 1 species